UGGUGGAGUGAUUUGUCUGCUUAAUUGCGAUAACGAACGAGACCUUAACCUGCUAAAUAGCCCGUAUUGCUUUGGCAGUACGCUGGCUUCUUAGAGGGACUAUCGGCUCAAGCCGAUGGAAGUUUGAGGCAAUAACA
rnacentral:rRNA from 1 species